rnacentral:rRNA from 1 species
CUUGGUCAUUUAGAGGAAGUAAAAGUCGUAACAAGGUCUCCGUUGGUGAACCAGCGGAGGGAUCAUUACCGAGUUUACAACUCCCAAACCCAAUGUGAACGUUACCAAACUGUUGCCUCGGCGGGGUCACGCCCCGGGUGCGUAAAAGCCCCGGAACCAGGCGCCCGCCGGAGGAACCAACCAAACUCUUUCUGUAGUCCCCUCGCGGACGUAUUUCUUACAGCUCUGGGCAAAAAUUCAAAAUGAAUCAAAACUUUCAACAACGGAUCUCUUGGUUCUGGCAUCGAUGAAGAACGCAGCGAAAUGCGAUAAGUAAUGUGAAUUGCAGAAUUCAGCGAAUCAUCGAAUCUUUGAACGCACAUUGCGCCCGCCAGUAUUCUGGCGGGCAUGCCUGUCCGAGCGUCAUUUCAACCCUCGAACCCCUCCGGGGGAUCGGCGUUGGGGAUCGGGACCCCUCACCGGGUGCCGGCCCUGAAAUACAGUGGCGGUCUCGCCGCAGCCUCUCCUGCGCAGUAGUUUGCACAACUCGCACCGGGAGCGCGGCGCGUCCACGUCCGUAAAACACCCAACUUCUGAAAUGUUGACCUCGGAUCAGGUAGGAAUACCCGCUGAACUUAAGCAUAUCAAUAAGCGGAGGA